UAAGGAAUCUUCCACAAUGGACGAAAGUCUGAUGGAGCAACUCCGCGUGCAGGAUGAAGGCCUUCGGGUCGUAAACUGCUUUUAUGAGUGAAGAAUAUGACGGUAACUCAUGAAUAAGGGUCGGCUAACUACGUGCCAGCAGCCGCGGUCAUACGUAGGACCCAAGCGUUAUCCGGAGUGACUGGGCGUAAAGAGUUGCGUAGGUGGUUAGUAAAGCGAAUAGUGAAACCUGGUGGCUCAACCAUACAGACUAUUAUUCGAACUCACUAACUCGAGAGUAGCAGAGGUAACUGGAAUUUCUUGUGUAGGAGUGAAAUCCGUAGAUAUAAGAAGGAACACCAAUGGCGUAGGCAGGUUACUGGGCUAUUUCUGACACUGAGGCACGAAAGCGUGGGGAGCGAACCGGAUUAGAUACCCGUGUAGUCC
rnacentral:rRNA from 1 species